rnacentral:tRNA from 1 species
UGAUUGAAACCAAAAAGAGGUAUAUCAUUGUUAAUGAUAUAAUUGAAAAUAAUUCCAAUCAAA